GAAACCAACAGGGAUUGCCCUAGUAACGGCGAGUGAAGCGGCAACAGCUCAAAUUUGAAAUCUGGCUCUUUCAGGGUCCGAGUUGUAAUUUGCAGAGGGUGCUUUGGUGUUGGCGGCGGUCUAAGUUCCUUGGAACAGGACAUCGCAGAGGGUGAGAAUCCCGUAUGUGGUCGCCUGCCUUCGCCGUGUAAAGCCCCUUCGACGAGUCGAGUUGUUUGGGAAUGCAGCUCUAAAUGGGAGGUAAAUUUCUUCUAAAGCUAAAUACCGGCCAGAGACCGAUAGCGCACAAGUAGAGUGAUCGAAAGAUGAAAAGCACUUUGGAAAGAGAGUCAAACAGCACGUGAAAUUGUUAAAAGGGAAGCGCUUGCAGCCAGACUUGCCUGUAGUUGUUCGCCUGGGCUUUUGCCCGGGUUACUCUUCUGCAGGCAGGCCAGCAUCAGUUUGGGCGGUCGGAUAAAGGUCCCUGACACGUAUCUCCCUUCGGGGUUAACAUAUAGGGGGGACGUAAUGCGACCAGCCCGGACUGAGGUCCGCGCAUCUGCUAGGAUGCUGGCGUAAUGGCUGUAAGCGGCCCGUCUUGAAACACGGACCAAGGAGUCUAACAUCUAUGCGAGUGUUUGGGUGUCAAGCCCGAGCGCGUAAUGAAAGUGAACGGAGGUGGGAACCCCUCGGGGCGCACCAUCGACCGAUCCUGAUGUCUUCGGAUGGAUUUGAGUAAGAGCAUAGCUGUUGGGACCCGAAAGAUGGUGAACUAUGCUUGAAUAGGGUGAAGCCAGAGGAAACUCUGGUGGAGGCUCGCAGCGGUUCUGACGUGCAAAUCGAUCGUCAAAUUUGGGCAUAGGGGCGAAAGACUAAUCGAACUAUCUAGUAGCUGGUUCCUGCCGAAGUUUCCC
rnacentral:rRNA from 1 species